UUGUGUGGAGUUCUGGUGUCCUCAGCAUAAAAAGGACAUGGAACUGUUGCAACAAGUCCAGAGGAGGCCAUGAGGAUGAUCAGGGGGCUGCAGCACCUCCCGUAUGAAGACAGGCUGAGGAAGUUGGUGCUGUUCAGCCUGGAGAAGAGAAGGCUGCGUGGAGACCUCAUAGCAGCCUUCCAGUAUCUGAAGGGGGGCUAUAGGGAUGCUGGGGAGGGACUCUUCAUUAGGGACUGCAGUGAUAGGACAAGGGGUAACAGGUUAAAACUUAAACAGGGGAAGUUUAGAUUGGGUAUAAGGAGGAAGUUCUUUACUGUAAGGGUGGUGAGGCACUGGAAUGGGUUGCCCAGGGAAGUUGUGAAUGCUCCAUCCCUGGCAGUGUCCAAGGCCAGGUUGGACAGAGCCUUGGGUGAGAUGGUUUAGUGUGAGGUGUCCCUGCCCAUGGCAGGGGGGUUGGAACAGGAUGAUCUUAAGUUCCUUUCCAACCCAAGCUAUUCUAUGAUAAUAUGGAAAUUCAAACAGCCAAGAGUCAAACCACCUGUGAGUUAGGAACUGUCUUACAUGUUUACACCAAAUGAUUGUGGGAAUUGAUGCAAUUAAAUAUUUUUAGAGUUUUGUUUAUUCUUCAGGCAUGUGAGGAAUUCAUGGGAACAUUUGUGAAAUUGUCAUUUUAAUGUUUCCAAGAGUAGUGUAACACGCAGUAUGGGUAACGCUUACCACUUAUACAGAUCAAGAAGAGCCUGGGUUUAUUUCUUUGCUUAAACUUAGCUCAGAUGUAACUUGGAAUUUCCAGUAAGUGUUCUAGGGUACACCUCACUCCUGGUAUUGUAACAUCUUAGAUUGGUGUUCUUUGACAUUCAAAUAACUCUUAUCCUCAUUAAGAAACACUUUUUCAUGUACCAUUUUCAUUACAGUUAUGAAUUGGUUUUGAUUUCAUGAUCAAUGGUGUCAUAUUUCCCAGUAAAAACACAUCAGCAACACUCAGUUUUGGUAGCAAGACAGGUAGCUGUUGCAGUGUCCUGUCCUGCUUACUGGGAUUUUCCCUGAAGGUGUACACAGCAGAUGCCAUUUAGAAAGGAUGGAAUCUCGAGUCUGGUUUGCCCUUUUUUAACGUCAGCAUCAAGGAAUAGGGAAUGGCUCCUUUCUCCAUCAAGGGGAAGACUCCUCACACUCUUCCCCUGCUCCAGUGUGGGGUGCCUACCCCAGGAGCCAGUUCUUCACAAACUUCUCCAACAUGAGUCCAUCCUGCAGCUCUUCACAAACUGCUCCAGUGUGGGUGCCUUCCAUGGAUGCAGUCCUUCAGGAAUAGACUGCUCCAGCACGGAUCCCUUCUUGUGCACCCCCAGCCUACUCACUCAUGGGGUGAGGAGCAGAAAAGGUUUUGACUCUGUAAGCACUGCUCAGCACUUAACAAAAACAUCCCUGUGUUAUCCACUGUUCCCAGCACAAAUCUAAAACAGCCCCAUGCCAGCUGCUCUGAAGAAAAUUAACUCUAUCCCAGUCAAAACUAGCACAAUGCUAUUUCAAAAUUAAUGAUUGUGUAUUUAUUUCUAGAUGUUUAUAAGAACAGGAAUGCUUAGUCAUAUUUAAAGAAUUAACAUGGUUACAAACCAGGUUUCUCACUGGCUUUGAAAAAUACUCCAAACUGUUACUAAAUUUAAAAAGUACUAUUUUCUUAAGUGCUCCAGCCUUUUUAUCGGGCCUUUGAAGAGCAAGUUGGAUUACCCAACAGAUCUAUACAGUUCAAAGAACAAAAGCAAGUAGUUUACACUUAACAGGUAUUGCAAAAUGAUGCACUUUGGUUAGGAAAGCAUGUUGACAAAAGCUCCAUGGCUGUACUUUUUUGUAAUGUUAUACAUCAAAGCAACAGUCAUGUAAAGAUUUUGCUAAAGUUAACGGGGUUUAUCAUAUUAAUAGUUGGAAAAAUAUUACGUAUAUCCUCUGAAAUUUUCAGUGGGUCUGGUGUUCAAUAUUAGAGGACAAAAUGCGUAAAUAUAUAUUCUGAAGUAUCUUGCUAGACAGAUAAAGCAUAGAGGGCUCAAGACAGAAACAUCAUGGUUCUACUUUGCCAAGGGUGAAAUGAAGUAAGUGCAGAAGAGUGGUCUGAAGCCACAGACUGGUGGUUCUGUCUAGCCUGUACUAGUAGGAACAUAUUACACUUAUACAUCAAUUCAGAAAGUGUGUUAAAGCUGUCAGUGUCUUUUUUGGAUACAAAUUAAUUGUACACACAGAGCACUGCACUAGGCAGUCAAAGAGAUAGGUAUUAUUUUGAUCAUUAAUAUAUAAGCUUCUAUUUUUAAUACUAGAAGAUAAAAGAAACCCAGAUUAAUUUGCAUUUAACAUACAGCCAGAACUGAUUUUACUUUGGCUGUUCACAUGUCUGUGUUUCUAUCAAGUCACUAGUCAGUGUCUUCACCUGUAAUGUUGGUGUAAUUCAAACACGUCACAGAACAUAGGAGUAUGAUAUUACAGCAUGGUUUUGCAGGCCAAAGCCUGUACAAAUCAAACACCUGCAUAAUGAACUAAUCUAUGCUGCACAUGCUUAUGUGGCUGCAGAGAACAGGUUGCCAUCGUGCUUUAAAUUGUUUGCAGUUCUCUAGAACAGAUGUGCCUGUGUAAGCUCCUCUCGCCACACCUAGUGAUGAUAGGUUUGGACUUUAAUGUGAAACUUGGCUCUUUCAACUGAAACUUAAAUCAUUGUGCGUAUUACAGGACACGUGUCUCAAUUUAGUCUUCCUGUGCGAGAUACCACUUGACCAUAGAUAUACGAAUAUAUGUGAAGUCACUAAGAUUGUGCUGUCCUCUGAAACUGUGAGCUCAGGAGUUUUGUGUUCCAUGUUCUAAAGCACCAUACUUUUGAGGUAUCUGCACUGACAAAGAAGAGUGAUGUCCUUCAUCAAGAGAGAAAUCUUUAAUCUACACUUAUUAAAAAAAUGUAAUUAAAAAUUAUUGUAUUCCAUGAAAUUUAGUGUUCACAAAAAUAAGGUGAUUUUCUUAGUCAUUUUUAUUGCUGUAGUCUUUUAUACAGAAAAGCCUGUUAAAAAAAGAUUGGCUGGUCAGAACAAGACUGGAAAAAUGGUUCUGACAUGAAAUUAAAACCUAGAAGUAGCUAAUUCCUUUGCAAGGAAUAAGAGGUUUUAUGCAUUCAUAGAAAAAGUAAGGAUUCUGCAUACAUUUAAGAUUCUGUAGGGUAUUUUUCAACCUCCCAAAUCCACCCCAUCCUCUCUUUAAUUUACUUGCAGGAAUUCUACUAUCUUAAAAAUCAGAAAAAGUUCAAGCUCUCUUUCAAAAUUUCCUGUAGGAACUGUUUGGGAGAAAUAAAACAUAUGGGGUUACUAAAAAUAAAUUUGCUUGCUCACUUAAUUAUGUACAAACAUCAACAAAAAUAUGAAAUGUAUUAUAGAUGUAAUAUUAAUGAAUGAUAGUUAUGUGUUUGAUUUUUUUCAGGAAGUAGCCAUUCCAAAUAAUUUUAUACAUAAAUAGUUACAUUUUGCAGAUUGUGGUAGAAUAGCGGAGAGAUUUUAGAAUUCCAGUAAAAUAUCUUAUUGCUUAUGCUGUGAUAGCAUAUUUCAUUUUUUGAAGUUUCCCACCAUAUUUCCCAUUGUUGUGUUUCAGUUAUUUGAAAAAAAAAAAAGCACCUAUUUUUUCAUCUAAAUGACUGUUUUUUCUAAGGAAUGUGAACAUCUGUCUGUUGUUUCAGUCACAGAGAGAAAAGUAUGUUUGUGUUCCUUGGUUGUUUCUGUUUCCUCCUUGAAAACAUAGAAGGGAAGUGCUCUGAAGCAAACGUAAUGAUCUCUCACAGGAUAUAUGAUAUGACAUGAAGCCAACUUUACAGCAAGAAAAGUCUCAUUAAUACCCACGUUCAUUUUAGUAGAUGAAUUAGUGACAGUUGAGGUUGCAGAGGGGCAGCUGGCUCUCUGCUGCAGUAGAUGGCAAAUCUCACUUCCCCUUAGAAGAACAACUUUGCAGUUCUUGCCACUUAUGUCAGUAUUCAAAGGUAACUUUUUACAUGUAUUCUUUGCAUGGGGCUGAAGAGAGUGCUGAUAACCACAGAGGUGCUGAUCAGUAGCUGCCACUUCUUGGGUUUAGAAAUACAGGAGUAUUUACUCACUUUUUUUCUUUAUAAUCAAAUUCAAGUCACUGCAUUUUCAGUAAUAUAACCUAUGUUAAAUAGUAGCUACACCACCAAUAAUUUUGUUCACAAAUGAAUAUAAGACCACAUGUACUACACUGAAUGAGUAAAAUUAUGCUUCUGAGCCAGAGAACAAUCUAGCCCUGAAAAAAUCCAAAACAAAACCCAAUGUCAAAACAGAAGAGUGCUCUGCUGUCAUAAGAUUGGCUAGUUCUGACACACCGCUACUGAUUUAUACAAGCAAACCAUCUUCAGUCUUUCAUCGUUUAGACAAAGCCAGGAUUGUUACAAGACACCCUUUUUAUAGAAGAAGGAAAUAAGGCCAUAUUGGGAAUUAAGUUUGCCAAACUCAAUUUCAUACCCUAAAGAAACAUCAGUGCUUAUUCUUGUACCGCUGAGAUGUAACUGAUUUAACUGGCACAAAAGAAAAAAAAUCAAACCAGCAUUUUUUCAAGUGUUUUUCCAUUUCUGAGUAAUAACCCUGAUGGCUGCUCAUCACCAGACUAGACCAUGCUUUGCAUCUGAUCAGUAUUUUCUGUCAUACCUUUAAUCUUAACAAAAAUGUUGUUUUAAUGAAGCCAAAACACAGGAAAUUUUAAUUGAAGAUGAAUGAUGUCAUGUGCACAAAAAACAUUACAAAUUUGUUAAUUCUUGAAUAUUUAUUAGCUUGAAAUAUACUGAGUAUUUUGUAGCUAAAACUUAAUUCAAAUUAAAGUAGCUUUUAAUUUAAGUUUGGGGUUUUUUUUUACUAUUCAGUUCUUGAAUACUCACUUUUGGUUAUAUUGAGGAAAAAAGAUACUUUAAUAUGUGUAAAAAUUAGGAUUUGGAUAAACAACUUACUUGUCCAAAAACAUAAAAGGUGAUCCAUGAACAAGUAAAUCUAUCCAAGUAUUUGCAAUUGCUUGUAUUACUUGUUUGACAUUUCUAAGUGCUGAAAAUAAGAAUGCCUUCGCAAUGCCCCAGGAUCCAAGAAUGAUCUGUUCCUCACCAUGUCUAGUCUUGUCCCAAGAGAUAAGUCAAACAGGUUCUCAAACUUCAGUUUUAAAAGACAAAGACCAUUAUACACUCCAACCAGCAAAGACAGAAAAUUACCAGCUGCAGCUGUGGGUCUCAGUAACGAAUCUAAGAGAAAGGCAGUAAGAACCAAUCCAGUUCACACCAAAAUUACUGUAGUAGGAAUGGAAAUGUUAUUAAAUACUUGUACUUCGUUCUGCCUAACUAUAUUGCCAGAAGCACAAAGAACACACAUUUGCCCUUCCUGUGACUCAGUAUUCAUUAAUAUGUUUAAUAAAUAAGAAUUCCCAUACUUACAGGUAUUACUUUUAAGUUCCUGAGGGAAAAUCCCUCAAAUAUCAGUUAUGCAUCACUGGACACCUUGAACUUUUGUUACUGCAGGAACAGAGGAAAAUAUGAAAGUGCAUUGUCAUGUGCUUUCUGAAACGACCUGGCAAAUAUAAAAAUUUAUUAGACUUA